GAAACACCCGGUCCCAUACCGAACCCGGAAGUUAAGCACUGCCGCGCCAAUGGUACUUGGGCUUAAGCCCCGGGAGAGUAGGUCACCGCCAAAC
rnacentral:rRNA from 1 species